rnacentral:lncRNA from 1 species
AAAAGUAUAAAGGACCACUGACUGUAUUAUAGAUUAAAGUAUAUUUCUAUGACAUGGAAAAGUCUCAAAUCUUAACAAAUAAAAGCUAACACGACAAUAACAAUUAACACUUUUGGACGUAGUUAGUUAUAAAUGCAACACUGAUGUAUAUUGAUAUUGUAUUGUUUGUUGCACAAAACCAAUUAAGACUAUAGAUUAAGAACGGUAACACUGUAUAAUUUAAAAAAAUCAAACAUGUAAGAACCAUGGAAUAGACACCCAUCAUGUUUGUUAGUCAAAAUCCGGUACACAGGCA